rnacentral:rRNA from 1 species
CGCGGCCUAUCAGCUUGUUGGUGGGGUAACGGCCCACCAAGGCUACGACGGAUAGCUGGUCUGAGAGGACGAUCAGCCACACUGGGACUGAGACACGGCCCAGACUCCUACGGGAGGCAGCAGUGGGGAAUCUUGCCCAAUGGGCGAAAGCCUGAUGCAGCGACGCCGCGUGGGGGAUGAAGGCCUUCGGGUUGUAAACCCCUUUCGGCAGGGACGAAGCGAAAGUGACGGUACCUGCAGAAGAAGCCCCGGCUAACUACGUGCCAGCAGCCGCGGUAAGACGUAGGGGGCAAGCGUUGUCCGGAUUUAUUGGGCGUAAAGCACGCGCAGGCGGCUGGCCAAGUCGGAUGUGAAAACCAGGGGCUCAACCCUUGGCCUGCAUCCGAUACUGUCGGGCUCGAGGCAGGUAGGGGAGAUCGGAAUUCCCGGUGUAGCGGUGAAAUGCGCAGAUGUCGGGAGGAACACCGGUGGCGAAGGCGGAUCUCUGGGCCGAUACUGACGCUGAGGAGCGAAAGCGUGGGGAGCGAACAGGAUUAGAUACCCUGGUAGUCCACGCCGUAAACGGUGGGUGCUAGGUGUGGGGGACUUCCACGUUCUCCGUGCCGCAGCUAACGCAUUAAGCACCCCGCCUGGGGAGUACGG